AUGGGCUCCAGGCUCCUCUGCUGUGUGGCCCUCUGCCUCCUGGGAGCAGGCCCCCGGCACUCAGGUGUUUCCCAGACCCCAAAAUACCUCCUGGCACAGGCGGGAGAGAAGAAGUUCCUUAAAUAUCAGCAAACUCUUCGCUUUGAUACAAUGAGCUGGUAUAAGCAGGACUCCAAGCUGUUGCUGAAAAUUAUGUUUAGCUACAAUAAUAAGGAAAUGAUUGUAAAUGAAAUGGUUCCAAGUCGCUUCUCACCUGAAUCUCCAGACAAAGCUCACUUAAACCUCCAUGUCAAGUCCCUGGAGCCAGAUGAUUCUGCCUUGUAUCUCUGUGCCAGCAGCCAAGGCACAGCCCUGCAGAGUCACUGA